GAGUUUGAUUAUGGCUCAGGAGGAACGCUGGCGGCGUGCCUAACACAUGCAAGUCGAGCGAGAAAUAGUCAGACGGAGAUUUCGGUUGAAGAAUGAUUAUGGAAAGCGGCGGACGGGUGAGUAACGCGUAGGCAACCUGCCUCAUGCAGAGGGAUAGCCUCGGGAAACCGGGAUUAAAACCUCAUAAGGCCAAGGGGACACAUGUUUUCGUGGUCAAAGAUUUAUCGGCAUGAGAUGGGCCUGCGUCUGNUUAGCUGGUUGGUGAGGUAACGGCUCACCAAGGCGACGAUCAGUAGCCGACCUGAGAGGGUAAACGGCCACAUUGGAACUGAGACACGGUCCAAACUCCUACGGGAGGCAGCAGUGGGGAAUAUUGCACAAUGGGCGAAAGCCUGAUGCAGCAACGCCGCGUGAGCGAAGAAGGCCUUUGGGUCGUAAAGCUCUGUCGAUAGGGAAGAAAAAGGUGACGUACCUAUCAAGAAGCCCCGG
rnacentral:rRNA from 1 species